rnacentral:rRNA from 1 species
UACGGGGGGGUGCGAGCGUUGUCCGGAAUCACUGGGCGUAAAGGGCGCGUAGGUGGUUUGAUAAGGGUGUGGUGAAAGUCCGGGGCUCAACCCCCGGAUCUGCCGUGCCGACUGUCAAACUCGAGGACUGUAGAGGCAGACGGAAUUCCGGGUGUAGCGGUGGAAUGCGUAGAGAUCCGGAGGAAGACCGGUGGCGAAGGCGGCCCGCUGGGCAGGAAGGCUCGCAAGAGCCGGCUGACGCUGAGGCGCGACAGCGUGGGGGAGCAAACAGG